rnacentral:rRNA from 1 species
AACGAACGCUGGCGGCAGGCUUAACACAUGCAAGUCGAACGCAUCCUUCGGGGUGAGUGGCAGACGGGUGAGUAACGCGUGGGAACGUGCCCUUCAGUUCGGGAUAACCCAGGGAAACUUGGGCUAAUACCGGAUACGUGCGAGAGCAGAAAGAUUUAUCGCUGAAGGAUCGGCCCGCGUCUGAUUAGCUAGUUGGUGGGGUAAUGGCCCACCAAGGCGACGAUCAGUAGCUGGUCUGAGAGGAUGAUCAGCCACAUUGGGACUGAGACACGGACCAAACUCCUACGGGAUGCAGCAGUGGGGAAUAUUGGACAAGGGGCGCAAGCCUGAUCCAGCCAUGCCGCGUGAGUGAUGAAGGCCUUAGGGUUGUAAAGCUCUUUCGUCCGGGACGAUAAUGACGGUACCGGAAGAAGAAGCCCCGGCUAACUUCGUGCCAGCCGCCGCCGUAA